rnacentral:rRNA from 1 species
UACGGAGGAUGCGAGCGUUAUCCGGAUUUAUUGGGUUUAAAGGGUGCGUAGGCGGGCUGUUAAGUCAGCGGUCAAAUGUCGGGGCUCAACCCCGGGGCUGCCGUUGAAACCGGAGCGCUAGAAUUCCGAUGCCGUCGGAGGAAUGUGUGGUGUAGCGGUGAGAUGCAUAGAUAUCACGCAGAACCCCGAUUGCGAAGGCAGCAUACCGGCGCCCGACUGACGCUGAGGCACGAAAGUGCGGGUAUCGAACAGG